rnacentral:ncRNA from 1 species
AAUAAAUUUUUUAUGGUUUAAAAAUUUUAUUUUAAAUUUAUUUUACAUAUAAAUUUUAGUGUUAAUUAUUAUUUAUUUAAAUAAUAAAUAAUUUUGUUUAGUAGUAAUUAAUUUUAAAAAUUUAAGAAAUUAAGAUUUAGUAAUAUAAAAAUUAUUAACUAAUUUUGUGCCAGCAGUUGCGGUUAUACAAAAAUUGAUUUAAAAUUUUUUAGUAAUUAAUAAAUAUUUUUAUUUAUAAUAUAAAAAUUAAAUUAUUAAGUGAAAUUUUAAUUUAAUAAAAAAUUAUUUAAAAAUUAUGAAUUAAUAAAUUUAAUAAAAAACUAGGAUUAGAUACCCUAUUAUUAAAAUUUAAAUUAUUAUGCUAAAAUAGUAGGUAAUUUUUUAUUGAAACUUAAAUAAUUUGGCGGUAUUUUAGUUUAUUUAGAGGAAUCUGUUUAAUAAUUGAUAAUCCACGAAUAAAUUUACUUAAUUUAAAAUUUUGUAUAUCGUUGUUAAAAAAAUAUUUUUUAAUAAAAAUAAUAUUUAAAAAUUUUAAUAUAAAAUUAAAUCAGAUCAAGAUGCAGAUUAUAAUUAAGAAUAUAAUGGAUUACAAUAAAUUUAUUUAAUUGGAUUUUAAUAUGAAAAAAUUAAAUGAAAUUGGAUUUAAAUGUAAUUUUAUUUAAUUUAAUAAAAUGAUUAAAUAUUAAAAUAUGUACAUAUUGCCCGUCGCUUUCAUUAAUAAAUUGAAAUAAGUCGUAACAAAGUAGAAGUACUGGAAAGUGUUUCUAGAAAGAU